AGUGAGUCUCAAGAAGAAGGAGCA
rnacentral:siRNA from 1 species